rnacentral:rRNA from 1 species
UACGUAGGGUGCGAGCGUUGUCCGGAAUUACUGGGCGUAAAGAGCUCGUAGGUGGUUUGUCACGUCGGGAGUGAAAACUCAGGGCUCAACCCUGAGCGUGCUUCCGAUACGGGCAGACUAGAGGUAUGCAGGGGAGAACGGAAUUCCUGGUGUAGCGGUGGAAUGCGCAGAUAUCAGGAGGAACACCGGUGGCGAAGGCGGCGCUCUGGGCCGGUACUGACGCUGGAGGA